rnacentral:rRNA from 1 species
GCGAUUCGCCCUUCGGGGUGCCCAGGCGCGAAACCUCUGCAAUAGGCGAAAGCUUGACAGGGUUACUCUGAGUGAUGUCCGCUAAGGGCAUCUUUUGGCACCUCUAAAAAUGGUGCAGAAUAAGGGGUGGGCAAGUCUGGUGUCAGCCGCCGCGGUAAUACCAGCACCCCGAGUGGUCGGGACGAUUAUUGGGCCUAAAGCAUCCGUAGCUUGUCCUGCAAGUCUUCCGUUAAAUCCACCUGCUCAACAGAUGGGCUGCGGGGGAUACUACAGGGCUAGGAGGCGGAGAGGCAAACGGUACUCAGUGGGUAGGGGUAAAAUCCACUGAUCCACUGAAGACCACCAGUGGCGAAGGCGGUUUGCCAGAACGCGCUCGACGGUGAGGGAUGAAAGCUGGGGGAGCAAACCGGAUUAGAUACCCGGGUAGUCCCAGCUGUAAACGAUGCAGACUCGGUGAAUGGGUUGGCUUUGAGCCAACCCANUGCCGCAGGGAAGCCGUUAAGUCUGCCGCCUGGGGAGUACGGUCGCAAGACUGAAACUUAAAGGAAUUGUCGGGGGAGCAC